UUUUUAUUUAUUUGUAAGUCGCUCUGGAUAAGAGCGUCUGCUAAAUGACUUAAA
rfam:Salmo salar isolate Sally breed double haploid chromosome ssa02, whole genome shotgun sequence.